rnacentral:rRNA from 1 species
GUGCCAGCAGCCGCGGUAAAACGUAGGAGGCGAGCGUUAUCCGGAUUCACUGGGCGUAAAGCGCGUGUAGGUGGCUCGCUAAGUCGAAUGUUAAAGCCCCCGGCUUAACUGGGGGAGGUCAUUCGAUACUGGUGGGCUUGAGGGUAGGAGAGGAGAGUGGAAUUCCCGGUGUAGCGGUGGAAUGCGUAGAGAUCGGGAGGAACACCAGUGGCGAAAGCGGCUCUCUGGCCUGCACCUGACACUGAGACGCGAAAGCGUGGGGAGCAAACGGGAUUAGAAACCCUAGUAGUCC